UCCCUGGUGGUUCAAUGGUUAAGAUGCUACACUCCCAAUGCAGGGGACCUGGGUUCAAUCCCUGGUCCAGGAA
rnacentral:tRNA from 1 species